rnacentral:rRNA from 1 species
GAUGAACGCUAGCGGCAGGCUUAAUACAUGCAAGUCGAGGGGCAGAACAGAUAGCAAUAUUGGGUGGCGACCGGCAAACGGGUGCGGAACACGUACACAACCUUCCUUUUAGUGUGGGAUAGCCCAGAGAAAUUUGGAUUAAUACCACAUAGUAUAUUGGAGUGGCAGCACUUUGAUAUUAAAGAUUUAUCGCUAAAAGAUGGGGGUGUGUAUGAUUAGGUAGUUGGUAGAGGUAACGGCUCACCAAGCCUUCGAUCAUUAACUGGUGUGAGAGCACGACCAGGCACACGGGCACUGAGACACGGGCCCGACUCCUACGGGAGGCAGCAGUAAGGAAUAUUGGUCAAUGGACGGAAGUCUGAACCAGCCAUGCCGCGUGAAGGAUGACGGCCCUCUGGGUUGUAAACUUCUUUUAUGUGGGACGAAAAAGGGCCAUUUUUGGUCAACUGACGGUACCAUAGGAAUAAGCACCGGCUAACUCCGUGCCAGCCGCCGCAGUAA